CGUGGAGACAGGUGGUGCAUGGCUGUCGUCAGCUCGUGUCGUGAGAUGUUGGGUUAAGUCCCGCAACGAGCGCAACCCUCACCUCUUGUUGCCAUCAGGUCAUGCUGGGCACUCUAGAGGAACUGCCCCGGUCAACGGGGAGGAAGGCGGGGAUGACGUCAAGUCAUCAUGCCCCUUACGUCCUGGGCUACACACGUGCUACGAUGGCCGGUACAAAGGGAUGCCACACCGCGAGGUAGAGCUAAACCCAAAAAGCCGGUCUAAGUUCAGAUUGGAGUCUGCAACUCGACUCCAUGAAGGAGGAAUCGCUAGUAAUCGCGUAUCAGCACGACGCGGUGAAUACGUUCCCGGGCCUUGUACACACCGCCCGUCACACCACGAAAGCCUGCUGUACUCGAAGUCGCUGAG
rnacentral:rRNA from 1 species